rnacentral:rRNA from 1 species
GAAAGUAAAAGUCGUANCAAGGUUUCCGUAGGUGAACCUGCGGAAGGAU